rnacentral:rRNA from 1 species
AUUGAACGCUGGCGGCAGGCUUAACACAUGCAAGUCGAGCGAGCGGCGGACGGGUGAGUAAUGUCUGGGAAACUGCCUGAUGGAGGGGGAUAACUACUGGAAACGGUAGCUAAUACCGCAUACCAUCAGCUGUGCCCAGAUGGGAUUAGCUAGUAGGUGGGGUAAUGGCUCACCUAGGCGACGAUCCCUAGCUGGUCUGAGAGGAUGACCAGCCCAACUGGAACUGGAACACGGUCCAGACUCCCACGGGAGGGAGGAGAGGGGAAUAUUGCACAAUGGGGGGAAGCCGGGUGCAGCCAAGACGCGUUGGUGGAAAAGGGCAUCGGGGUGGAAAGCACUUUCAGAGAGGAAGAGGUACUCGCAGAAGAAGCACCGGCUAACUCCGUGCCAGCAGCCGCGGUAAUAC